GAAGAAUCAUUAAUUUAUGCUUUUUUCCUUUUCCUUUUGUUUUGAACCCGCCCCCCUCCUCUCUCUCUCUCUCUCUGUGCGCGCGCGUCUCGUUUCUUCCCCAACUUUGGACUUUAGAUCUCUCAAAAGAGCCGCAUUGGUUUCAAUUCGCUUUCACAAAAAACGCAUACUUCAGCGGGAAAGGGUUUUUAUCCAUCAUGGUUUUAGUGGAUGCGAUAGACUCAAUGUUGGUGGGACGGGAUACCAUCUCAAGUGUUGGAACAUAAAUGUCUCGCCGUGUCCUAUCUUGGAACAUUUCCUAUCUCGAGUAUCAGGAUAGACGAGAAAACUAGAACAAUUCCAUCCCACAGGAUUUAAAACAUUCAAUGCAUCGUUGUCUGGGGAAACACCAUUUAUUUUCAUUUGGUUUUGCAAUGCUUCGAGCCUGCCUGGAAUGACUGGUUAGUUGGAGUCCCAAGACUAACCAGAACCCUCGAGCAAUCACAUUUUCCAAGUGGUGGUAUUGCAGCCUCUGGUUGGAACAGAACUAGUAUUUUGUGAAUUUACAGCGGAGCAGCCAAGCAAUCCGU
rnacentral:lncRNA from 1 species